rnacentral:misc_RNA from 1 species
AACUUUCAACAAUGGAUCUCUUGGCUCUCGCAUCGAUGAAGAACGCAGCGAAAGGCGAUAAGUAAUGUGAAUUGCAGAAUUCAGUGAAUCAUCGAAUCUUUGAACGCACCUUGCGCCCUUUGGUUAUUCCGAAGGGCAUGCCUGUUUGAGUAUCGUGAACACCGCAACUCUCACGGUUUGCCGUGAUGAGCUUGGAUUUUGGGGGUCUUGCUGGCCUAUGGUCGGCUCCUCUCAAAUGAAUCAGCUUGCCAGUGUUUGGUGGCAUCACAGGUGUGAUAACUAUCUAUGCUUGUGGUUUUCCACCAGGUAACCUCCAGCAAUGGAGGUUCGCUGGAGCUCAUAAAUGUCCCUCCUCAGCGAGGACAGCUUUUGAACGUUUGAUCUCAAAUCAGGUAGGACUACCCGCUGAACUUAAGCAUAUCAAUAAGCGGAGGCU